rnacentral:rRNA from 1 species
GCCAGACUCCUACGGGAGGCAGCAGUGAGGAAUAUUGGUCAAUGGCCGAGAGGCUGAACCAGCCAAGUCGCGUGAGGGAAGACGGCCCUACGGGUUGUAAACCUCUUUUGUCGGGGAGCAAAAGCCGGACGUGUCCGGCUGUGAGAGUACCCGAAGAAAAAGCAUCGGCUAACUCCGUGCCAGCAGCCGCGGUAAUACGGAGGAUGCGAGCGUUAUCCGGAUUUAUUGGGUUUAAAGGGUGCGUAGGCGGAAUGCCAAGUCAGCGGUAAAAUCGCGGGGCUCAACCUCGCUCCGCCGUUGAAACUGGCGUUCUUGAGUGGGCGAGAAGUAUGCGGAAUGCGUGGUGUAGCGGUGAAAUGCAUAGAUAUCACGCAGAACUCCGAUUGCGAAGGCAGCAUACCGGCGCCCAACUGACGCUGAAGCACGAAAGCGUGGGUAUCGAACAGGAUUAGAUACCCCCGUAC